AAACCAACAGGGAUUGCCCCAGUAACGGCGAGUGAAGCGGCAGGAGCUCAAAUUUGAAAUCUGACCUCCUCCGGGGGUCCGAGUUGUAAUUUGCAGAGGAUGCUUCGGGUGCGGCCCCCGUCUAAGUUCCUUGGAACAGGACGUCAGAGAGGGUGAGAAUCCCGUCUUGGGCGGGCGGCCCGCGCCCGUGUGAAGAUCCUUCGACGAGUCGAGUUGUUUGGGAAUGCAGCUCUAAGCGGGUGGUAAAUUUCAUCUAAAGCUAAAUACUGGCCGGAGACCGAUAGCGCACAAGUAGAGUGAUCGAAAGGUUAAAAGCACCUUGAAAAGGGAGUUAAACAGCACGUGAAAUUGUUGAAAGGGAAGCGCUUGCGGCCAGACUCGGGGGCGGGGUUCAGCGGGCGCUCGUCGCCCGUGCACUCCCCGCGCCCCGGGCCAGCAUCAGUUUCGACGGCCGGUCAAAGGCCCCCGGAAUGUGUCGUCUCUAGGGACGUCUUAUAGCCGGGGGUGCAAUGCGGCCCGUCGGGACUGAGGAACGCGCUCCGGCUCGGAUGCUGGCGUAAUGGCCGUAAGCGGC
rnacentral:rRNA from 1 species